rnacentral:snoRNA from 1 species
CUGUAAGACUCUCGAGUGCUUGAAUCUGGAAUGGCUCAGUGCAUUCCUACAGUGCUUGCAACAAAAGUUUUAAAACAGUAUGUCACUGUUAUUGCAAAUGC